rnacentral:rRNA from 1 species
UUGAAAGGGAAACGAUUGAAGUCAGUCGUACCUGUGGGUAAUCAGCCUUUUGGGUGUGAUUUUGUGGAGUGUGAGGAGUUAAACGCCUUCAUGCCUGCAUAUUCGUGCACUUUGGGUGUAUUUACCCGUGUGGUAAGUUAACAUCAAUUUCGGUGGUCAUAAAAUGGCUGGAGGAAUGUAGCUUUGAUCUCGUAUUGAAGUGUUAUAGCCUUCGGUAGAUGUGAUAAUCGGGAUUGAGGAUUGCAACGGAUACCCUUCGGGGCUACCUGUCUGAUCUCUGAUCGUUGCUCUGGUGCCGAAAGCUUGCUUACGGUUAUCAAAGUCGAUGGUCAAUAGGUUAGAAUGGGUUAAAUUCGUUAAGGAUGUUGACGUA